AUUGAACGCUGGCGGAAUGCUUUACACAUGCAAGUCGAACGGCAGCACGGGUGCUUGCACCUGGUGGCGAGUGGCGAACGGGUGAGUAAUACAUCGGAACGUACCCAGUCGUGGGGGAUAACGUAGCGAAAGUUACGCUAAUACCGCAUACGUCCUGAGGGAGAAAGCGGGGGACCGUAAGGCCUCGCGCGAUUGGAGCGGCCGAUGUCUGAUUAGCUAGUUGGUGAGGUAAAGGCUCACCAAGGCGACGAUCAGUAGCUGGUCUGAGAGGAUGAUCAGCCACACUGGAACUGAGACACGGUCCAGACUCCUACGGGAGGCAGCAGUGGGGAAUUUUGGACAAUGGGCGAAAGCCUGAUCCAGCCAUUCCGCGUGAGUGAAGAAGGCCUUCGGGUUGUAAAGCUCUUUCGGCAGGAACGAAACGCUCUAGAUUAAUACCCUGGGGUAAUGACGGUACCUGAAGAAGAAGCACCGGCUAACUACGUGCCAGCAGCCGCAGUAA
rnacentral:rRNA from 1 species